GACGAACGCUGGCGGCGUGCCUAAUACAUGCAAGUAGAACGCACAGGAUGCACCGUAGUUUACUACACCGUAUUCUGUGAGUUGCGAACGGGUGAGUAACGCGUAGGUAACCUGCCUGGUAGCGGGGGAUAACUAUUGGAAACGAUAGCUAAUACCGUAUAAGAACAUUUACUGCAUGGUAGAUGUUUAAAAGGUGCAAGAGCAUCACUACCAGAUGGACCUGCGUUGUAUUAGCUAGUUGGUGAGGUAACGGCUCACCAAGGCAACGAUACAUAGCCGACCUGAGAGGGUGAUCGGCCACACUGGGACUGAGACACGGCCCAGACUCCUACGGGAGGCAGCAGUAGGGAAUCUUCGGCAAUGGGGGGAACCCUGACCGAGCAACGCCGCGUGAGUGAAGAAGGUUUUCGGAUCGUAAAGCUCUGUUGUUAAGGAAGAACGUGUGUGAGAGUGGAAAGUCACACAGUGACG
rnacentral:rRNA from 1 species